UUGGAGGGCAAGUCUGGUGCCAGCAGCCGCGGUAAUUCCAGCUCCAAUAGCGUAUAUUAAAGUUGUUGCAGUUAAAAAGCUCGUAGUUGAAUUUCGGGAUCAGAGUGUCGGUCGUGCCUCGGUACGCACUGGUAUUAUUGGUUUCUACCUUCUGAAGAACCGCGAUGUCAUUAAUUUGGUGUCGUGGGGAAUCAGGACUGUUACUUUGAAAAAAUUAGAGUGUUUAAAGCAGGCUUACGCUUGAAUACAUUAGCAUGGAAUAAUGAAAUAGGACGUUUGAUUCUAUUUUGUUGGUUUCUAGGAUUGACGUAAUGAUUAAUAGGGAUAGUUGGGGGCAUUAGUAUCCAAUUGUCAGAGGUGAAAUUCUUGGAUUUAUUGAAGACUAACUACUGCGAAAGCAUUUGCCAAGGAUGUUUUCAUUAAUCAAGAACGAAAGUUAGGGGAUCGAAGACGAUCAGAUACCGUCGUAGUCUUAACCAUAAACUAUGCCGACUAGGGAUCGGAUGAUGUUAAUUUUUUAAUGACUCAUUCGGCGCCUUACGGGAAAC
rnacentral:rRNA from 1 species